AUACGGAGGGUGCGAGCGUUGUUCGGAAUUACUGGGCGUAAAGCGCGUGUAGGCGGUUUGUUAAGUCUGAUGUGAAACGCCCCGGGCUCAACCUGGGAAGUGCAUUGGAUACUGGCAGACUUGAAGUACGGGAGAGGGCAGUGGAAUUCCUGGUGUAGGAGUAGAAAUCCGUAGAUAUCAGGAGGACACCGGUGGCGAAGGCGGCUGCCUGGACCGAUAUUGACGCUGAGACGCGAAAGCGUGGGUAGC
rnacentral:rRNA from 1 species